AGCAGCCGCGGUAAUUCUAGCUCCAAUAGCGUAUAUUAAAGUUGUUGCAGUUAAAAAGCUCGUAGUUGAAUUUCGGGGUCAGUAGGUUGGUCGUGCCACUGGUAUGCACUGGUCUCACUGAUUCCUCCUUCCUGAUGAACCGUAAUGCCAUUAAUUUGGUGUUGCGGGGAAUCUGGACUGUUACUUUGAAAAAUUAGAGUGUUUAAAGCAGGCUAACGCUUGAAUACAUUAGCAUGGAAUAAUGAAAUAGGACGAUUCGAUCCUAUUUUGUUGGUUUCUAGGAUUGACGUAAUGAUUAAUAGGGAUAGUUGGGGGCAUUAGUAUUCAAUUGUCAGAGGUGAAAUUCUUGGAUUUAUUGAAGACUAACUACUGCGAAAGCAUUUGCCAAGGAUGUUUUCAUUAAUCAAGAACGAAAGUUAGGGGAUCGAAGACGAUCAGAUACCGUCGUAG
rnacentral:rRNA from 1 species